CCCAUGCCUUCUGCAUUCCAGUCCAAGAGCCACCCCCCCUCUUCCUUGGAAUUCCAAGAUACCGCCUGUGGUAUGGUAUGGAUAUUUUCUGGAAUCACCCAAUUGUUUAGUUUUCUGUAGAAGACAGUGUAGACCAUAUCCAGUAUUGUUUUAUUCACUCUUGACAAAUUUAUAUUUAAAUUGCAUGGAGAAAAUAGGUGCUGAUUAUUCAUAGGUUAAGUCUGAAUUUUAUGGGGCUAUUUUCAUGUUGUCAAAAUGUACAUCAUAUUUUUACUUUUCUUCUAGAAUUAUUGGAAAGCAUGAAUUCUUCAGAGUCUCCCUCAUUACCAGCAGAAACUGAAAAACAGAUUGUUAAACAAGAAACACCAGUUACAACACAAAAGCCAAUAAAACGAAGAAAGCGUGGGCCAAGGCCACUUGUCAAAUAUCGAGGUCAGUGCAACAAGUAGUGCAAAUUUGUUUGUUCACAGGCAAAGAGACUAAAGCCUGGUUCUCAUAUGCCGCCGACAUACCUGGGACAUUAGCCACCAGCAUGGCCUGGGACACCAUUACAGCAUAUGUGAACAUUUAUUGCCAAAUCAUAAUCUGUCUCAGCCAUUGACUGCAAAGUUGAGCCGAGUUCAACUUAGCAGGCAAGUUGGCAGCUGUCGGCAAUGAAAAUACUUUAUGUCGACAUCAUCUGCAGAUGCAAUGUAUGAUGUAACAACUCGAUUUUUCCCACAGUUUCAUAUGCUAAUUUGAGUACAUUGGCGAUCCAUCGCAGAUGUGCCAGGGACCCACUGGAACAGAUCACAGAACGUUGUCAGUUGCAACUGGUGACAGGUCGGUGGGAUAUGAGAACCUGGCUUAAAUAUGGACAAAUUUUGACAUGCCUCUUUGUGUCCUUGAUUUAUUAUUCAGACUUUCCAAAGGAAACGCCCGAGAUGAAAUUCUGGCUUCAUGUUUUUUUUGUUCAGUCGCAAAUCACAGUCAAGUCCUUAACAUGCACGCACGACAUUAUGCUGCUGACCAAAAGGAGCACAGCCUCCAGGGACAACAAAUACACUUCUUCGGGACGUCCUUCGGGACUUAAAAUGGAAAGGAAAAACACAAGUAAAUGUUUAGGUGGCCCAAGAAUGGAAGAUGAAGGUGUACAGAAUGCUCAAACCUUUCUGG